CAAAGCUGGAGUCGCCUUUUUGCAGCUUGAAUAGCCAAUUAUUCCUGACUUCGCUGUGGUUUUUAGGCUGUUUUUGCCACCUGGUUAGACUGAUUUCAUUCAAGUAAUCUUCUGAGACUUGUGCUGUGAGCAACUGUAUGAGGCCCCUGAGUCGGGUGGCUAGCUGUCCUAGUAUCCUGGUGGUGUUUGGAGCACGGAGUGUGGAUUGUCGUUUGUAGUCACUCACCUCACUGUGUGUGUGUGUGUGUGCUUUUACGAAUAGCCACUUUUGCAGCUAGCCUACCCUGCUAGGGGUAAGCCUUCGUAAAACUGAUUAAUGUAUGCCUGGUCGAAUCAUAUCUUUGCCUGAUCUUUUAAAAGGUGUAUUUUCUACUUUGUGAAUUUAAUAAAUAGUUUAUACGCUA